UUGAUCCUGGCUCAGGAUGAACGUUGGCAGUGUGCCUAAGACAUGCAAGUCGAACGAAGCGCUAGUGCGGAACUCUUCNGGAGGGAAGGAUUAGUGACUGAGUGGCAAACGGGUGAGUAACACGUGGAUGACCUACCCUGAAGUGGGGGAUAACCUUGGGAAACCGGGACUAAUCCCGCAUGUGCUUGUUGGUUGUGACCAAUAAGGAAAGAUUUAUUGCUUUAGGAUGGGUUCGCGGGUCAUCAGCUAGUUGGUGAGGUAAAGGCUCACCAAGGCAACGACGGCUAGCCGGCCUGAGAGGGUGAACGGCCACAGGGGUACUGAGACACGGACCCCACUCCUACGGGAGGCAGCAGUUAGGAAUCUUCCACAAUGGGCGCAAGCCUGAUGGAGCGACACUGCGUGAGGGAAGAAGGCUUUCGGGUUGUAAACCUCUAAAAGUAGGACGAUAAUGACGGUACUACUUGAGAAGCACCGGCUAACUCCGUGCCAGCAGCCGCGGUAAUACGGAGGGUGCAAACGUUAUCCGGAAUCACUGGGCGUAAAGGGCACGCAGGCGGUUAGUUAAGUCCGAUGUUAAAGCGUGGGGCUCAACCCCAUACGGGCGUUGGAUACUGGCUAACUAGACUCUUGGAGAGGUAAGUAGGAUUACCAGUGUAGCGGUGGAAUGCGUAGAUACUGGUAGGAAUACCAAUAGCGAAGGCAGCUUACUAGACAAUGAGUGACGCUGAGGUGCGAAAGUGUGGGGAGCAAACCGGAUUAGAUACCCGGGUAGUCCACACCCUAAACGGUGCAUACUUGGUGUUGGUGCGCAGGCAUCAGCGCCGGAGCAAAACGCGUUAAGUAUGCCGUCUGGGAAGUACGGCCGCAAGGUUUGAAACUCAAGGAAUUGACGGGGACCCGCACAAAGCGGUGGAGCAUGUGGUUUAAUUCGAAGCAACGCGAAGA
rnacentral:rRNA from 1 species